rnacentral:rRNA from 1 species
UACGUAGGGGGCUAGCGUUGUCCGGAAUCAUUGGGCGUAAAGGGCGCGUAGGCGGCCUUUCAAGUGACGGGUGAAAUCCCUCGGCUUAACCGAGGAACUGCCUGUCAGACUGGAAGGCUUGAGACCGGGAGAGGUGAGUGGAAUUCCCAGUGUAGCGGUGAAAUGCGUAGAUAUUGGGAGGAACACCAGUGGCGAAGGCGGCUCACUGGACCGGUACUGACGCUGAGGCGCGAAAGCGUGGGGAGCGAACAGG